UGGUGGUUAUCCUACGACUUCUAAGCAAUCUCAAACAUGGGCAACUUUCAUUGGGAGCUAAUGCAUAGCUUGAUCGUGAUACGCUAGGGUGGACUUGGGCCUUAGUGACUUUAAAAUGAAGCUAGUCUAAUUAAAACAUGUUAUGUACUCUAUGUUUCAGUUAUUUCAAGACAAUGUACCUCUUUUAUUGAUAAAUAAAAUAUAACUUUAAAUGC
rnacentral:lncRNA from 1 species